CUCAUUUGGGUUCAUAUAACAAGGACAAGUGUCCCACUAAGUAAAAUAAAAUAAAAAGAAAAGAAAAGAAAAGAAGAAGGAAGGAAAUCAGAAAGAAGGGGAUGUAAGUGUGCUGGAAGCAACCAAAGGAAAGAAGGAGAAACCGAGAGAGAGAGAGAUAAGAGAGAGAACUCAAACCAUUGUGCCGGAAAAAGCUUUGGAGAAGUGGGUUCAAGAGAUCUAAGUGAAGAUAAGAAAGGGAACUCAAGGAAUUAAAAAGAAAUUCAGCCAUUGAAAACUUAAGGCGAGGAGUGUACGCCAGGUCCAGGUCCAUCUCUCCGAGGCCGAGAUCCGUCAGUUUUGCACUGUUUCGAGAGAAAUCUUCCUCCAACAACCCAAUCUCUUCGAGCUCGAAGCCCCCAUCAAGAUCUGCGGCUUUGAUGAUCUCUUUGCCACUGUGACAUUUCUACUCCAAAAUUCUCCAGGAUCUGUUUUCAUAACAACCCAUCACAAUAUAAGCGGGCAUCAUCUAAUUGAGUUCUUGAUGGCGAAGUGGGGGUUGAAGUGCAUGAAACUUCUUGACGGCUUUUCAUUUAUGCCAUCAUACAAGGCAUUUGGGCUAAGUGGCAAUAUUCAAUUGGCAGAAAUUGUUUUGAAUAAUGAAGAGGUCAUGUGCCAAAAAUUAGCAGUAAAAUGCUGAAUGGUGACGCAGCCUCUCUGAUUUUUAACAUUGCUCCAUAGCCAUAUGACAAUUAGUUCAAUUCACCUCAGCGGCUUUUUAUUUGUGGAUUGCUGCUCCUUUCAUUUAUUGAGGUUUCCUGUUUCUUAGAAGCCAAUUUCUGCAUGUGAAAUUUUAGAUCUUGCAACUUUUUUAUACCAAAUUAUUUCACGACAGACAUACUGUUUGUAUAUUUUAUGCCUUGACAAGACUUUUUAGUUACAACAGGUUAGUUUGGGAUA